rnacentral:rRNA from 1 species
GUAGGGAAUAUUGGGCAAUGGAGGCAACUCUGACCCAGCCAUGCCGCGUGCAGGAUGAAGGCCCUCUGGGUUGUAAACUGCUUUUAUCUGGGAAGAAACCUUUGGAUUCAUCUGAAGCUGACGGUACCAGAGGAAUAAGCACCGGCUAACUCCGUGCCAGCAGCCGCGGUAAUACGGAGGGUGCAAGCGUUAUCCGGAUUUACUGGGUUUAAAGGGUGCGCAGGCGGACUGUUAAGUCAGUGGUGAAAGCCCCGGGCUCAACCUGGGAAUUGCCAUUGAUACUGGCGGUCUUGAGUACAGUAGAGGUAGGCGGAAUGCAACAUGUAGCGGUGAAAUGCUUAGAUAUGUUGCAGAACACCGAUUGCGAAGGCAGCUUGCUAUGCUGUUACUGACGCUCAGGCACGAAAGCGUGGGGAUCAAACAGGAUUAGAUACCCGGGUAGUCC